rnacentral:rRNA from 1 species
GAGUAACUCCAACCCCUGUGACAUACCUAUACGUUGCCUCGGCGGAUCAGCCCGCGCCCCGUAAAACGGGACGGCCCGCCCGAGGACCCUAAACUCUGUUUUUAGUGGAACUUCUGAGUAAAACAAACAAAUAAAUCAAAACUUUCAACAACGGAUCUCUUGGUUCUGGCAUCGAUGAAGAACGCAGCAAAAUGCGAUAAGUAAUGUGAAUUGCAGAAUUCAGUGAAUCAUCGAAUCUUUGAACGCACAUUGCGCCCGCCAGUAUUCUGGCGGGCAUGCCUGUUCGAGCGUCAUUUCAACCCUCAAGCUCAGCUUGGUGUUGGGACUCGCGGUAACCCGCGUUCCCCAAAUCGAUUGGCGGUCACGUCGAGCUUCCAUAGCGUAGUAAUCAUACACCUCGUUACUGGUAAUCGUCGCGGCCACGCCGUAAAACCCCAACUUCUGAAUGUUGACCUCGGAUCAGGUAGGAAUACCCGCUGAACUUAAGCAUAUCAUAA